GCAAUCCACCAAUGAUAUCUAGCAGCAUGUAGUGGCAAUCCAACAGAACAGAAGGAUGAAUUUCUAGGUGUAGUUACCAUAUGAUUCAGUUCUUCUAUCGCGAGUCCCGAUAAGAUGGAGGUUAUAGAAAUCUCGUCAAAUCCCAUCAUCUAUUUUAUAUAAGAUUUAUUCGACUUGAGUUCAUUUGUGAAACUUGAUGA
rnacentral:lncRNA from 1 species